rnacentral:rRNA from 1 species
UACGUAGGUGGCGAGCGUUGUCCGGAUUUAUUGGGCGUAAAGCAUGCGUAGGCGGAUACUUAAGUGGGAUGUGAAAUCCCGGGGCUCAACCCUGGUGCUGCAUUCCAAACUGGGUAUCUAGAGUACAGGAGAGGAAAGCGGAAUUCCUAGUGUAGCGGUGAGAUGCGUAGAGAUUAGGAAGAACACCAGUGGCGAAGGCGGCUUUCUGGACUGUAACUGACGCUGAGGCAUGAAAGCGUGGGUAGCAAACAGG